CAGGCCUAACACAUGCAAGUCGAGCGGAUGUACGGGAGCUUGCUCCUUGAUUCAGCGGCGGACGGGUGAGUAAUGCCUAGGAAUCUGCCUGGUAGUGGGGGACAACGUUUCGAAAGGAACGCUAAUACCGCAUACGUCCUACGGGAGAAAGCAGGGGACCUUCGGGCCUUGCGCUAUUAGAUGAGCCUAGGUCGGAUUAGCUAGUUGGUGGGGUAAUGGCUCACCAAGGCGACGAUCCGUAACUGGUCUGAGAGGAUGAUCAGUCACACUGGAACUGAGACACGGUCCAGACUCCUACGGAAGGCAGCAGUGGGGAAUAUUGGACAAUGGGCGAAAGCCUGAUCCAGCCAUGCCGCGUGUGUGAAGAAGGUCUUCGGAUUGUAAAGCACUUUAAGUUGGGAGGAAGGGCAGUAAGCUAAUACCUUGCUGUUUUGACGUUACCGACAGAAUAAGCACCGGCUAACUCUGUGCCAGCAGCCGCGGUAAU
rnacentral:rRNA from 1 species